GUCAGUUGAUGCGACUGUUAGAUGGACAAGGAGUUGAUCUGCGUGCUCGCGGUCGUCUACGGCGACGCAUGUAUAACAGUCGCGGGCCAAACUAUGUUUGGCAUAUUGACGGAUAUGAUAAGUUAAAACCUUACGGAAUAUGCAUAAACGGAUGCAUUGAUGGUUUUUCCAGAAAAAUUAUCUGGCUUGAAGCAUACAAAACGAACAAUGACCCACGAGUAAUUGCAGGUUAUUUCCUACAAGCUGUUGCUGAGAAUAACGGAUCUCCACAAAGAAUUCGCAUUGACCAUGGAACUGAAAAUACGCAUUUAGCAGAUAUGCAGACAUUCUUCAGAGACACUGCGAGUUCAGAAUGUGUCACUCUUGGUCCAAGCACUGGGAACCAGAGAAUUGAACGAUGGUGGUCCACUUUGAGAAGCCAGUGCAUACAAUUUUGGAUGGAUCAUUUUGAACAGCUAAAAGAAGAUGGACACUUUGUUGAUACUUUCACUGACAAAUGUCUCAUCCAGUUUUGCUUCCAACAUUUUAUACAGGAAGAGCUUGAUGAAAUAGUCAGUGCCUGGAAUUGCCACAGGAUACGGCCAACUCACAACCCACGUGCUCCCAGUGGUCGACCUUCAAUAAUGUUUGCUGUUCCCAGUUUAUAUGGAGUGCAGAAUUUCUUGCAUCCAGUUGAACAAACAAAACUGAGCAUUUGCCAAGAGGAGUGUUUAUUUAAAGACUACCCUUGUGAUGAGGAUGUCUUUCAACUGUGUGUAGAACUCAUGGCUGAGCAUAACCUUGUCAUGUCAGAUGAUGUUUAUGAAAUUACGGACCUUUACCUUCAACUUCGUGAACUGAUCCUUCAAGGACUGGAUUUGGAGGAAUAGAUUCACCAUUCUAAUCUAAUCUACAACAUUCACUAUAAGAUAAAGAUGUUGAACUGCAGCCUUACUCUCCCUACCCAAGCAACCUUGGACCACUGGAUGGAAUCGCAAAGCUUUUGGCAUCACAUUCCAGUGUGUUUUUAAUCCAAUCAUAGUCUCAAAACAAGUUUCUGAGUUCAAAGGCUCUGCAAUCCCCAUCCUUACUUCCAUUGUGCUAUCUCUAUCUCUAUCAAGAUUAAGGAUUUAACCAUUAUCCACUGUAUGAAGCCCUGCAACCUCUAAAGCACCCAGGCUCAGGCUCCAUGAGCCUACUCUGAGGAUCCAGAUGGAAAAACAUUUACAUCCCAUCAUUAUAUACACCCCUCAGGAUCACCUUGUCUAUUAGACACAUUACUCAAGGUACAGUAAAUAAUCUCCAUUAUAAAUCAGUGCAUGAUGAUAUAAAAUCACAGUGAUGUUGCUUUGUGUUUUCAGAGGGCAGAAAUAAUUUGUUCCAUACCAUCCUCAUAUCUAUCCUCAUGUGCAAAGGAGGCCAGCAUAAUGUCAAAUCAAGAUCUUAUUUGUGAUCUGUUUGUUUUCAGUCUUAUAACAUGGCAAAAGCACAACCAUCAGAAUUAAAGGGGAAAAUGCACAAGCAUCUAGAUGUAAUGAAUACUAAAAAAAAAGACUAUUUUUUAAUGUAUAAACUAAGUUUUUCCAACUACAGUAAUGUAAAUUUUUUUGCAUGAUUUCAAACAUUUUUGUGAUACACUAUCAUUACUUUCAGGCCUAACCUGAAUACAAAUGAAGCACAGCAAACCUGUUUUAGAUGUACAAGACAAUGUU